UACGUAGGGUGCGAGCGUUAAUCGGAAUUACUGGGCGUAAAGUGUGCGCAGGCGGCCGAGCAAGUCGAGUGUGAAAGCCCCGAGCUUAACUUGGGAACUGCGCUCGAAACUACUUGGCUAGAGUGUGGCAGAGGGAGGUGGAAUUCCACGUGUAGCGGUGAAAUGCGUAGAGAUGUGGAGGAACACCGAUGGCGAAGGCGACUCUCUGGCCUGUAACUGACACUGAGGCGCGAAAGCGUGGGGAGCGAACAGG
rnacentral:rRNA from 1 species